CGGUGCGGCUGGGCCCCAGGAGGGAGCCGCGCGCCGGAGCAUCUUCUGGCCUCGGUGGGAGGCAGCCCUUCCCCCGCGCCCUGCUCCGCGGGGCCCCAGUCUGCACCGCUGUGUGCCCUCACCUGUGUCCGCACCGACCGGAUUGCGCCGCUGCCCCUUUGCACAGGGUGUCUCCCCGCUCCGCCUGCGCCCCGCGACCUCAGCUCGUGUCGCAGCCUAAGCCGCGGCCCCCCUCUCCUGGCCUCCACAAAUCAUUGUCCAGCCUGGAACCUCUCUCUCCGUAGGAUUUAUCUUCCAAAUUAUAUAAUUUAAUUUUUUUAAUCGUAUCCAUCGUGUGCCUCUCGUCCUGCCUUAAGCUCCACUAGGGAAAGGAUCUCUUGUUUUGUUCGCCGCAACCCCGGAUGCUACAACAGGGACCGGCACACAGAAGGAGAGACUUGGUUAUAUUUUGAGAAUAAGCCAGAAGAGCUAGCAAGAUUCAAGAAAUAAGGGAGAGUGUGUGUGAGUUAGCAAAGCCUGGACCUAGAGGAAAAGGAAAAGUCUGUGGAACUUAAAUUGGAAGAUCAGAGAGAGGGAAGAGGAUAUAUGGACAUAACAUUGAAUUCUGAGACAAAAUACCUGAUGUGGCAGCCACGGGGACCGUGUGGCUCAGAUCUCCCUUGGCGAAAGAAUCUGCCAUUCAACUACUGGUGUGCAGGCAGCUGUCAGCCUCCAGUUACAUCACCUUUGGGAUCCAUUACAGUGUCAGAGCUUCUAGAAGCUGUCUGUACUCUGGCUCAUGGCACCUUCCUCCAUCUGCAAAGCCAGCAACGCAGCAUCUUCAAGCCUCUCUCCCACUUCCUGGCUGCCUCUUCUGUUGUCACAGCUCCUUCACUGACCUGAUCCUCCUUCCUCCAUCUCAGAAGGACACCUGUGAUUACAGGGGGCCCACCUGGCUAAUCCAGGUACUUCCCCAUCUUUGAGUCCCCAUCCCUAACUUAAUUGCAUCUGCAAAGUCCCUUUUGCCAUGCAAGGUAGCAUAUUUUAGGGGCUCCAAGGAUGAAGACGUGACCACCUUUGGGAAGCCGUUAUUCCACAUUAUUGCAGUGAUACAGGGGUGAACACAGGAGGUGACAUCCCUGUUCCCAUGGAGAUUCUCUUCUAGUGUAGGAGAGACAGAAACUAAUUGGUAAGAUGCUGAUACAUGCUAUGAAGAAAAUUUUAAAGGGGUGUCAUGAUGGUGACUAGGUAUAGAGAAUGGUUGGAGAAGUCUCUCUGAGGAGGUAGCUUUUGAGCCAAAGCCUGAAGAAUUAGAAGGCACUUACUGGCACCCUUGCAUCCAGGGUCCCCCUGGAAUCCUGCGGAGAUUUUUGGUAAAUUUGGCACCUGUUUAGGAAAUGAGUUGACUACUUAUGAAUGUACUCUAUUAAGGAGACCAGUUCCAAUGCACAAAGUAAAUACUGACUUGUCAUCUCUGCCCCGGGGAUUUUAGUUUCUAGCCUUUCUAAAUUGGAAGUCAAGAUCAAGAACCAACUCUGCCUCUUUAGGAUUAAGAAUCUAGCACUGUUUCACGCAUAUCGUCUGGCAUAAAAGCCCUAAGACUACACUGGAUGGCAGAGACCAAUUGGGAGUAAUUUAAAUCCUUAGCCACUUAAAUUUGAAUUUCCAAAAGCUUUUCAGAGAAGUUUAAAGUGGAUGGGCCUCAGCAAGAGUCUCAUUCCUCACUGAAUCCUGGGGACAGGGACACCAGGUGCUGGGUCCAUCCAUUCAGUGAAUUGUACUGGUGUCUCUCAAGUUCUGUAAUGCCUCAGAAGAACUAAGAAAUGAGACCUUGGGACCAGCAGAUUAGCAGAGCAACUGAUUCCCUAGGAGAAAAAUAUAUUUCUUUCUAGGCUGUAAAAGGGAAGGUUUUCUGUAUAUUGAUGGGGACAAGGAGAGCAUGGUCUUAAGGAGGGAGUCAGCCAGUUAAAUAAAGUACAAAAAGAACACAACAUUCUCACAGCAGCUAACUGAAGAGUUUUCUCCCCAGUUCUCUGCCUCUUAUCUCAUUCGCACCGCCCCCACUAGGAAGUGGCUACUUUAUCCUACAAUCAUACUCUUUGUAUCUUGUCUCCCUGGUUGUCUUUUGUUUUUUCCAAAGUAAUUAUUUUAUUUCAAAAUGAGUUUCUCUUUGGGGCGCCUGGGUA